CCAACGGUGAGCCGCAUUCAGCCGCAUUCAGUCGGAUUACUUCCCUGCGGGAUUCCUUUGUAUUUGCACAAGGUGAGAUUUUGGGCAACAGCA
rnacentral:rRNA from 1 species